AUUGAACGCUGGCGGCAUGCCUUACACAUGCAAGUCGAACGGUAACAGGUUAAGCUGACGGGUGGCGAACGGGUGAGUAAUACAUCGGAACGUGCCCAGUAGUGGGGGAUAGCCCGGCGAAAGCCGGAUUAAUACCGCAUACGACCUAAGGGGGAAAGGGGGGGAUCGCAAGACCUCUCGCUAUUGGAGCGGCCGAUGUCAGAUUAGCUAGUUGGUGGGGUAAAAGCUCACCAAGGCGACGAUCUGUAGCUGGUCUGAGAGGACGACCAGCCACACUGGGACUGAGACACGGCCCAGACUCCUACGGGAGGCAGCAGUGGGGAAUUUUGGACAAUGGGCGCAAGCCUGAUCCAGCCAUGCCGCGUGCGGGAAGAAGGCCUUCGGGUUGUAAACCGCUUUUGUCAGGGAAGAAAUCCUUUGGGUUAAUACCUCGGGGGGAUGACGGUACCUGAAGAAUAAGCACCGGCUAACUACGUG
rnacentral:rRNA from 1 species